AAAGUCGUAACAAGGUUUUCCGUAGGUGAAACCUGCGGAAGGAUCAUUAAAGAGUUAGGCUUCGCGGCCAAGUUUCUCACCCUUUGUAUUACCGAAACCAUGUUGCUUUGGCAGGCCCCUGCAUUUCUCGGGCCUGCCAGAGGUUAUAAACUCUAGAAUCUCUGCUGUCUGAGUACUAUGCAAUUAGUUAAAA
rnacentral:misc_RNA from 1 species